rnacentral:rRNA from 1 species
AUUGAACGCUGGCGGCAUGCCUUACACAUGCAAGUCGAACGGUAACAGGUCUUCGGAUGCUGACGAGUGGCGAACGGGUGAGUAAUGCAUCGGAACGUGCCUAGUAGUGGGGGAUAACUACUCGAAAGAGUGGCUAGUACCGCAUGAGAUCUACGGAUGAAAGCAGGGGAUCGCAAGACCUUGUGCUACUAGAGCGGCCGAUGGCAGAUUAGGUAGUUGGUGGGAUAAAAGCUUACCAAGCCGACGAUCUGUAGCUGGUCUGAGAGGACGAUCAGCCACACUGGGACUGAGACACGGCCCAGACUCCUACGGGAGGCAGCAGUGGGGAAUUUUGGACAAUGGGCGAAAGCCUGAUCCAGCAAUGCCGCGUGCAGGAUGAAGGCCUUCGGGUUGUAAACUGCUUUUGUCAGGGAAGAAAAGGCUCCUUCUAAUAUAGGGGGCUCAUGACGGUACCUGAAGAAUAAGCACCGGCUAACUACGUGCCAGCCGCCGCGGUAA